rnacentral:rRNA from 1 species
UACGAAGGGGGCUAGCGUUGUUCGGAUUUACUGGGCGUAAAGCGCGUGUAGGCGGACUUGUAAGUUGGGGGUGAAAUCCCGAGGCUCAACCUCGGAACUGCCUCCAAAACUACAAGUCUGGAGCAAGAUAGAGGCAAGUGGAACUGCGAGUGUAGAGGUGAAAUUCGUAGAUAUUCGCAAGAACACCCAGUGGCGAAGGCGGCUCACUGGCC